rnacentral:misc_RNA from 1 species
GUGAAUCAUCGAAUCUUUGAACGCAAAUUGCACUCCCUGGUAUUCCGGAGAGCAUGCCUGUUUGAGGGUCAGUUUAAAUAAAAAUCGGUGUGGUUGCUGCCUUUCGUGGUGACGCACUGGUUUUGGGUAGUCUGGCAAUUGGUUAAGUGACAUAAAAUUUAGCGAGAUUUCUUCGAACGUUUUUAAAUGAUUAUAAGUAAGUUAGCGAUAUAGAAUCAUAGGUGCGGUCAUUCUCAUGAUUCGCGCCUAUAUUUUCUCA